rnacentral:lncRNA from 1 species
AUGCUGGGAAGGCAGGAUGAGGAGGGACGUUUGCAUUCAUCCAUGCUCCUCCUCCUGGCCUGUCCUUUGUCCUGCCUUCCCCUAGCACAUGCAGCGCUCAAAGCUUUCUUGGAGACUCAGCUUGAACAACAUCUUUUCAGUGAUGUGAACCUGCUCUUCCUGAUUGAAGGUACCAGCGUGCUCCUGAGCGGCUGUGAGCGACGUCGGCUCCCGACGAGGAGGGGCUGUGACUCAGCGCUGCAACUGCCAGAGCUGCGCCGAGAGCUAAGCCGAGCGGACGGGAGGUGCGUCUCCCCGCAAAACCCCGCGUCAAAAAACGCCUACCAAAUGCUUUCUCGUUUGGACCCAGACUCCAGUUCCGGAGCAGUCUGGUAGCCGGAUCCCCUAGGAGGAGAAGUAGUAAAGCGGUAAGAAGAAAGCAUUUCAGUUUGGAACACCUAACUUGCACCUG